AAUCAACGCUGGCGGCGUGCCUCAGACAUGCAAGUCGAACGAUUAAAGCUCUCUUCGGAGAGUGUGUAGAGUGGCGCACGGGUGAGUAACACGUAAGUAAUCUACCUUCGAGUGGGGAAUAACCCGGGGAAACCCGAGCUAAUACCGCAUAAUGCAGCGGCAUCUAAUGAUGACAGUUGUUAAAGAUUUAUCGCUUGAAGAGGAGCUUGCGGCAGAUUAGCUAGUUGGUAAGGUAAUGGCUUACCAAGGCUACGAUCUGUAACCGGUCUAAGAGGACGGUCGGUCACACUGACACUGAAUAACGGGUCAGACUCCUACGGGAGGCAGCAGUCGGGAAUUUUGGGCAAUGGGCGAAAGCCUGACCCAGCAACGCCGCGUGAAGGAUGAAGUAUUUCGGUAUGUAAACUUCGAAAGAAUGGGAAGAAUCAAUGACGGUACCAUUUAUAAGGUCCGGCUAACUACGUGCCAGCCGCCGCAGU
rnacentral:rRNA from 1 species